rnacentral:rRNA from 1 species
UACGGGGGGGGCAAGCGUUGUUCGGAAUUACUGGGCGUAAAGGGUUCGUAGGUGGCCUACUAAGUCAGACGUGAAAUCCCUCAGCUUAACUGGGGAACUGCGUCUGAUACUGGAUGGCUUGGAUCCGGAAGAGGGAUGCGGAAUUCCAGGUGUAGCGGUGAAAUGCGUAGAUAUCAGGAGGAACACCUGCGGUGUAGACGGCUUACUGGACCAUCACUGACGCUGAGGCACGAAAGCGUGGGUAGCAAACAGG